rnacentral:rRNA from 1 species
UAACCUGCCCAAGAGAUCGGGAUAACACCUGGAAACAGAUACUAAUACCGGAUAACAACAGAUGAUGCCUAUCAACUGUUUAAAAGAUGGUUCUGCUAUCACUCUUGGAUGGACCUGCGGUGCAUUAGCUAGUUGGUAGGGUAACGGCCUACCAAGGCGAUGAUGCAUAGCCGAGUUGAGAGACUGAUCGGCCACAUUGGGACUGAGACACAGCCCAAACUCCUACGGGAGGCAGCAGUA